GUGGGGAAUCUUGCGCAAUGGGCGAAAGCCUGACGCAGCCAUGCCGCGUGAAUGAUGAUGGUCUUAGGAUUGUAAAAUUCUUUCACCGGGGACGAUAAUGACGGUACCCGGAGAAGAAGCUCCGGCUAACUUCGUGCCAGCAGCCGCGGUAAUACGAAGGGGGCUAGCGUUGCUCGGAAUUACUGGGCGUAAAGGGCGCGUAGGCGGACAGCUUAGUCAGAGGUGAAAGCCCAGGGCUCAACCUUGGAAUUGCCUUUGAUACUGGCUGUCUUGAGUUUGGGAGAGGUGAGUGGAACUCCGAGUGUAGAGGUGAAAUUCGUAGAUAUUCGGAAGAACACCAGUGGCGAAGGCGACUCACUGGCCCAAUACUGACGCUGAGGCGCGAAAGCGUGGGGAGCAAACAGGAUUAGAUACCCCUGUAGUCC
rnacentral:rRNA from 1 species